AGAGAAGGAAGAUACAUCAUGGAAAACACAUCAUCUGGUUGUGCACGGUCUUUCGCUUGCUGCCAGGUGCUUCCAAGAUGUGAGCCUUCAUCAAACAAUAAACCACUGCUAUAUACUAUGAAGAUGGGCAUGUUGGCCAUACUGAGAUCUGAUAGAGAUGGGUUCUUUCUGGUAAAAGAGAAAGAAGAACAUAUUUAUACAACUGCUGCUCCCCAACAGAUCAUACCAAUCCAUGUGCAAGCAACUUACACAUGCUCCUCUGAAGAAAACAGUAAGAGAAGCCAUAUCCUCUAGCAGCAAUCUCAGCUCAUCUGCUUUCCCAGCUCUUUCUAAGAACACCUACUGGAGUCCCAUCUGAAGAACAGAAACUGGACAGCAGCAGCAAGGAUUGAAAAUAGGUACAGAAAUUCUGAAACUUGGCAGAGGCGAUUGGGUGAAAGUGCCAUCUUCCAAACUAUUUUGGCUUUUACAUUUUCUCCAACAACUCAGUACAGAGUAGUGUUUAUAAUUAUUAGCAGCCCUGUAUGAUGUAGCAGAGGAGAACCAUGUACUUUUAUUAUGCUCUUGCCUGUUUAUAGUUCACCUGUUAAAACGUUCUCAGUAUUCUAGCAAAAGGACAGUAAACACGAUCUGUGACUGAGUUUCUGAAGGAAUGAAAAUAUAUUCUACAUAUUCUAUAUAUGUUGCUUUUCUACAGAACAAACUGAAACAAAAUCAUCUGGCCUUUAAACAGUUUUAAAGAGUUUAUUAUCACACUUGAAAAAUAACAAUGCAAAUUGAAAGAAUUUGAAGUUCUGGAUAUGGCCACUGUUGUUUUUAUACUAGGAAAUGCCUGAGUGACAUGCUGGGGGAGGCAGAGAAGAAAUCACAUACGUAUUCUCCUCCAAACAUUGUAAUCUAUCUUACCUGCAGACUCCAUGCAAUAUCAGUAUGCCUUCAUGGCACAUGCCUCUUGAAGUCACUCCUACUUAACUUUCCAUCUGCUAAAUUUCAUAAAUUUGAUCCAAAACCAUUCCUUCUUUUCAGCUUUCAGUCAUUACAAAUGCUAACAUACAUUCUCCUUACUGUUUGUCUUUUGUCCUGGUCUGAAACUUUGAUUUGAAAUAAGGUGAAAUAAAAGUUCCUGGAGGUUGGAG